UUUUUGUAAUUAAAAUGGAAAACUAAAAAUAAGAUGGAGUGUAUAUAAUUAAAUUAU
rnacentral:sRNA from 1 species